rnacentral:rRNA from 1 species
CUGCCGCCGCGGUAAUACGUAGGGUGCGAGCGUUAAUCGGAUUUACUGGGCGUAAAGCGUGCGCAGGCGGCCCGUUAAGACAGGUGUGAAAUCCCUGGGCUCAACCUAGGAAUUGCGCUUGUGACUGGCGGGCUCGAGUACGGUAGAGGGGGGUGGAAUUCCUGGUGUAGCAGUGAAAUGCGUAGAGAUCAGGAGGAACACCGAUGGCGAAGGCAGCCCCCUGGGCCUGUACUGACGCUCAUGCACGAAAGCGUGGGGAGCAAACAGGAUUAGAUACCCUGGUAGUCCACGCCCUAAACGAUGGGUACUAGCCGUUUGGUGCGCGAUAGCGCUGAGUGGCGAAGCUAACGCGUGAAGUACCCCGCCUGGGGAGUACGGCCGCAAGGUUGAAACUUAAAGGAAUUGGCGGG